rnacentral:rRNA from 1 species
AAGACAUUACGAUGCGUUGCUCACAUUAUUAAGAAAAUCUAAAUAAAUUUGAUUAAUAAUAAUUGCUUUAUAGUUAGAUGAUAGACAAUAAUUAGCAGCUAUCCUUCUCUAUAUUGGCGGCCGCCGUGUGUGUGUGCGCGCGCAUAUUAUAUGUGUGUGUGUGUGUGCGCGCGGUGAAUGCUGAUUUAGAAUAUAGGGAUAGAGUUAAACCAUCCUGCAAAAUAUAUAUAUAUAUAUAUAUGUAUAGUGUUACAGCUAUAUGUGUGUGUGUGUGUGUGUAUAAUAAAAAUGUGGGAUGGAGUGUUUAUCUAACAGCAAAGAGCGACGUUCUAGAAAUCAUUAUGCUAUAUGAGCAAUCAUAUAAUAUAUGCCAUUUGAUGAUUACUCUCUGCGCUAUAUAACCAAAAGUGUGGGAGUAUAAUAUACGAAUGGAGUGUUAUAUUGUGCAUACAUGUGAUCGGUAAUGUUUGAUCAGGCACCAAUAGGACCCGUCUUGAAACACGGACCAAGGAGUUCAGCAUAUGUGCAAGCCAAUGGGAAAUCGUAUGAAACCUAAAGGCGCAAUGAAAGUAACUUGAUAGUAAAAUGAGAUUACGGGUCGAUGAGAAUCGAUGCCCUCCAUCUCAGGACGUUUUAUAUCGUUUGAUCGUUCACAACUAAAAGGUGAUGGUGUGUGGCGGUGACGGUGGUGGGUUGUUGGUGUAGAGUAGGAGAGUGUGUGAU